UUGAAAUACAUAAAGGGAACCAACACAGUAAAGGAGGAGACUAUAUUUAAAAUAAAAACUACCACAAAAAUAGGACAUAGUCUUACAUUAGAGGGGCAAAGAUUUAAAAAUAUCAGGAAGUAUUACUUUAAUGAGAGGGUAGUGGAUGCAUGGAAUAGCCUUCCAGUUGAAGUAGUAGAGGUUAACACAGUAAAGGAGUUUAAGCAUGUGUAGGAUAGGCAUAAGGC